GACGAACCGUCCAAACGUUAUUCGGAAUCACUGGGCUUACAGAGUUCGUAGGCGGUCUGGCAAGUUGGGUGUGAAAUCCCUCGGCUCAACCGAGGAACUGCGCUUGAAACUACCAGACUCGAGGGAGAUAGAGGAAAGCGGAACUGAUGGUGGAGCGGUGAAAUGCGUUGAUAUCAUCAGGAACACCGGUGGCGAAGGCGGCUUUCUGGGUCUUACCUGACGCUGAGGAACGAAAGCCGGGGGAGCGAACGGG
rnacentral:rRNA from 1 species